rnacentral:rRNA from 1 species
AUUGAACGCUGGCGGCAGGCUUAACACAUGCAAGUCGAGCGGGGGGAGGUAGCUUGCUACCUAACCUAGCGGCGGACGGGUGAGUAAUGCUUAGGAAUCUGCCUAUUAGUGGGGGACAACAUUUCGAAAGGGAUGCUAAUACCGCAUACGCCCUAAGGGGGAAAGCAGGGGAUCUUCGGACCUUGCGCUAAUAGAUGAGCCUAAGGCGGAUUAGCUAGUUGGUGGGGUAAAGGCCCACCAAGGCGACGAUCUGUAGCGGGUCUGAGAGGAUGAUCCGCCACACUGGGACUGAGACACGGCCCAGACUCCUACGGGAGGCAGCAGUGGGGAAUAUUGGACAAUGGGGGGAACCCUGAUCCAGCCAUGCCGCGUGUGUGAAGAAGGCCUUUUGGUUGUAAAGCACUUUAAGCGAGGAGGAGGCUACCGAGAUUAAUACUCUUGGAUAGUGGACGUUACUCGCAGAAUAAGCACCGGCUAACUCUGUGCCAGCAGCCGCGGUAAAAC